UUUCAUCAAAAAGGGGUGCCUUGUUUUGUAAAAAACACGAAAACAGGCUGAGAGCAUACCCAUUAUAUCUGUAAACAGAUAUAUGCACCUGAUCCGGAUAAUGCCGGCGGAGGGAUUGGAGUUAUGGAGUUU
rnacentral:ncRNA from 14 species